rnacentral:rRNA from 1 species
UACGUAGGGUGCGAGCGUUGUCCGGAAUUAUUGGGCGUAAAGAGCUUGUAGGCGGUUUGUCGCGUCUGCUGUGAAAAUCCGGGGCUCAACCCCGGACUUGCAGUGGGUACGGGCAGACUAGAGUGUGGUAGGGGAGACUGGAAUUCCUGGUGUAGCGGUGAAAUGCGCAGAUAUCAGGAGGAACACCGGUGGCGAAGGCGCCACUCUGGGCCGAAACUGACGCUGAGGAGCGAAAGCGUGGGUAGCAAACAGG